AAGGUUCUAUCCGGGCACUCUGGUUCUAAACCUUGGUUCCAUCUGGGUUGUUUGGUUCUGAACCUUGGUUCUAUCCGGGUUCUUUGGUUCGAAACCAUGGUAACUGGUUCAACAUCCGGGUUGUUUGGUUAUAGCAACCCGACUUCUUGGUUCCAUCUGGGUUCUAUUCUAGAUUAUUCUAAUGUUCCCGUUGAACUUGGAGAAGCUAACCACAAGUAUCCGAAUAAAAAGAUGAAGUAGGUCAAAGACGCUAAAAUUGUUUUAUAACAUUAAACAUUUCAGGAUCGACGGUAAAAGAAGCUGUAAGGUAUUUAUUUUCUCAUUCUAAUAAUUUUGAUUAGGAAACUAGAUAAAAAU
rnacentral:lncRNA from 1 species